UCCGAGUUGUCCCCGGCAGUCUCCUUAGAGUCCCCGGCAUUACCCGCUGGCAACUAAGGACAGGGGUUGCGCUCGUUGCGGCACUUAAGCCAACACCUCACGGCACGAGCUGACGACAGCCAUGCAGCACCUGUGCUAGCCCCUUGCGGACACGGGCUUUCACCCGCUUUAACUAGCAUGUCAAACCCAGGUAAGGUUCUUCGCGUUGCAAGGUUGGUU
rnacentral:misc_RNA from 1 species